rnacentral:rRNA from 1 species
GACGAACCGUGCGAACGUUAUUCGGAAUCACUGGGCUUAAAGCGCGUGUAGGCGAGUGACCGCGUCGGUCGCUGAAAGCCCCCCGGCUCAACCGGGGGAUGGGCGCCGAAACGGGUCGCCUGGAGGGGCGUAGGGGGACCUGGAACUUCCGGUGGAGCGGUGAAAUGCGUUGAGAUCGGAAGGAACGCCCGUGGCGAAAGCGAGGUCCUGGACGCCAUCUGACGCUGAGACGCGAAAGCCAGGGGAGCGAACGGG